UACAUUCAAGGAAUAUUCCAGUUGUAUCAAAUUUCUGUCAAAUUCACAAAGUUUUAAAGGUCCAAGAGUACAAAUAUAGAAUUUAUGCUCUACAUGAGAUGAUCAAAUGCAACAUGUGAUUCCCUGCAAAUCUCAUUUGUGUUGUGUGUGUGUUUAUGUGUUUGUGUGUGUGCAUGUGUGUAUGUGUGCAGGAGACAAGGAGAACAAGUUCUGCCAGGUCCAUCACAGCCGUGUCUCCCUAUCUGUGCUGUUGUCUGAGAUUUGUUGUGAUUGGUCAGAAUUACUAAUCACAAACUCUUCCUUCCUGAGUGCCUCCAGCUCCGCCUCGCCGUUAGCUAGAGCUCCGUGGAUACCGUUUAUUUCCUCCGCCCUCAGCUGUCGACUCAGGAGAAUGAAACCCGGGAUGCAGAUGAUGAAGGAGAUCGUCCGCAGGCUGAGAGUCAGACCCAGCGCUGCAUUCUCCUCCGAUGCAAAGUCAUCAAUGUAAGAGAUCCCAAGAGGCUGCACAGGUGUCUCUCCAAUCCCUCGCAAGACAUUUCCCAGCAGCACGUAGAUCCACAUCGACAGGUUGGACUCCCCUUCACAGCCUGCAGGAAAAGGCUGAUCUUGAGAGUUGGGAAAUGAGAACAGUUACUGGACACAGAUGUGAGAGCAGCCUGAGGAGAUGCUGGGCUCCAACCAUCUCCCCCGAGAAAUGGCACCAGAGCUGAUCAAGUUUUCUGCUCAACAACAUUCACCUUAGCCUACUCCUCCAGAUGUGGUUAUUGUUCGAGGACACAUCAGUAAGCAGGGCUACCUCACAAGAAAGGCGUUAGUCACGGACAGUUUCUCCUAAAAGUGCUGAUACAAGUCAAAAAGGGUAUUUUUUUGUGAAUCAUGUUCACUUUGCUACUGGACACAAAGUUCCUGCUACAGAUCACAAUCUAAAUCCAGAAGGACAUCAAAGGAGAGCGGCGAUACAACCUCUCCAUCUCUCCCUCAGGUGGGUCGACCCAGCGUCCCGGCAUGAGAGCAGCGGAGUUGUAGGAAGAGCACAGAGGUCCGACUAUGUCUUUAAAAGCAAUUCAGUCGGAGGACAAAGGUGGCAGGGGCUCACAUUGCUAUGGUAACCUGAAACCUGGAUGGCGUCAAUACACUGCAUUAGUGGUUUGUGCAAGAGGUGCAGCUCCUUACACUUCAGUGGUCCAUUGACAUCAGCCAGCUUGAUGCACAUCUGACACACCAGCAUUCGAUCAUUUUCAUUGGCCCAAUCAAUGCUGGAAACUCCAUCAUCACCCACCUGGAGAGAUGUGCACAGGAAGAAGUCAAAGUGCUUUUUGAGGUCUGUGGCCAGAAUGGCUUCAAUGACAAGAAAGCGGAAGCGCUUGAACUCCACAUGCUCGAGGUUAACCAGGAAGUUGUACUCGGGCCGAGACAUGAAGAGGUUCCACGCUGAAGCUGCAUGAUGAUUUUCCAAAACGGAGCGAUCGUUGUAUAAAAGAGCCUGCAAGAGGACCCCUCCCAAGGAAUAUCUACAUGAAUGUACCUGUGGUGCGCUGGUAGCUACUAAGAAGGCAUUGGUUCUCCCAGGAUGGUCAUAGUCAUGCAUGGCAGCAGCUACAUACAGAGCCAUGAGCUCCAGGCCGGGGAUGAGGCCGGCCAGGGAGCCAUAGCCUUCUGUCAGCACGGAGUUCAUCUUGGACAACAGGAAGCCUGUGGCCCCGGGCGUAAUGCCGUUUUCUGAACGAGGGGACAAAGAGAGAGAACAUAGCUCAUGUCACAGACACUGGUUAUGGUUUUAGCUGAAAUGCAGCCACUACGAUUCUUCCUGUUAAACUCGGAGCUUGGAGUCUAUUCAAGAGGAAAGCUCUUCAGCAAGAUGUCUGCCAGAAAGUUUACCUGACUGAGAAUGCGGCCUGUCUUGCCACGGGUUUUCUCCACUAAACUAAAAAUGGGAAAGUUCCAAUUGUUGAGUUGACUCAUGAGCGGCUCCAGACCUGACAUCACCAGAGGCUCCAUCGCUAAGACUGGCUUGUCCUGUCAGGUACAGAGGAAGAGUCAAAGGGAUGAAGACAACUACUUUCAGAUUCUACACCAUGGUUUAGCCGAUUGUUGAAUGGUCUGCCACAGCUGACAGAGAGAACAGAAAGAGAUCAACACAUGUAAAAACACUUCCAACAUUUGUUUUUCUAAUCAUUCUACUUCUUAAGAUGAAUCUCAUGUUUUUACCUGCCACAAAGUGAUGGAGGUCUCCAGUGAGGUGUGGUGGAGCUCGGGGCACUCUGGCUGUGAGUUAAGGCUCUGUGGUGGCUCUUGGAGACCACAGGGCCAGGGAUCCGCUCUAUGAGAGGACCAGCGGGCUCAGGAAGCUGCACUGAACAUGUUUUAGUAGUCGGACUGGAGACUGGAGUACCCUGGAUCGGAGGAGACGGGCACGGAGAGCCCAGAGGUGACACGUUGGAGGGGGGGAAACCUGAAGAAGAGAGAGAAACUAACUGAAGGGUUUUCAAGGAAUACACCUUCAAGCAUUUUCUAUUAUAUAUGACACUACAUCAUACCUGGUCUUCCCAGUGGUUUGCUGUAGAUGUGGUUGGAGAUGACAGAGGCAGCAUAGGAGGCAGACAUGGACCGACCCUUCGAGAUGGUCAUCAUCAUGGAGUUGUUCCACGUUUCGCUGAUUUUGUGCAAAAUAAAUACAAUAAAUAAAUAAACACAG